AUGUCGGAAAGAUGGCUGAAGGCAAACGGAUAGAGAUUGUGACGAAGCGAGUUUAAAGCUACCGGCAAUAGUUCUAAAACGUUUUCGAUGAUGAAACGUUUGCGUGGUUCUAGUCUUUAUGAAAAGUUCGAUGUAAUUCAGAUGAGCUAGACAAAUGAGUAACGCAAAAAUUCUGGCUAAAAUUAAAGACACUUGAAGGAUUUGAAGCUAACUGAAUUCGCCUGAGGCCGAACACUUUUUUUCUUCUCGUGCAUGCGCAAAUAAAAGGAACUUUUGUCUAUCCAAACUAACUGGCAAAUCUAAGCAAAUCUUAUAAUCGGGAAAUGGGAAAACCUUAAAUGAGAUCAAUCUGAAGGGAAAAAGGACAAUUAUUUUAAUAGCAAUAAAGCCCGUUAUUGUAACAGGAAAUAGGAAAAGAUCGGUGUGGGGAAAAUAACAAACUACCAAGUUUAGGAAAUUGUAUUCAAGAGAAUAUAAUACCACUCUUUCAGCUCAACCCUUCAAGUUUCACUUUAAAACUUGAAAUAAGAAUUCUUUCAGUGUAAAUCAUAGAAAUAUUUUCAUAUCAUGCGGAGAAUUUAGCGUUGCAGAAUUGAAAGACAACAUCAUUUAUUUCGGCGUCUGAUGAUUCUGUUCUUAUUUCCAUUAUCUUAGUGGUAGACAAUGUAUUUUUAUGAACAAUAGCUUUCCUUUCUCCAGAGCAUCUUGUUAAUGUCGUUUUUCCCGUCUGCACAGUGAGAUUACGCAUUAGCUUUUUUUUCCCUUCGCGCUUCAGACGGACGCCAUUCAUCGACAAAGUUCUUAUCUGUUCUUGGGAAUGUGCAGUUCAGUCCGGAUCGAGCGAUCUGGGUUUGUGUUCUGGCCGGAGAUAUUGUGUUGUGUUCUUGGGCAAGACACUUUACUAUCACAGUCCCUCUCUCCUCUCAGGUUUACAAAUGGAUAUCGGCAAACUAAAUGCUGGAAAUAACCCUGCGAUGAACUAGCAUCCCAUCCAGAGGGGAGUAGAAAUACUCCUAGUCGUUUCAUGCUACAGAAACCGGGAUAAACUCCGGCCUUGAUGGGUCACUUUACCUCUUAUCUGUUCUUAAAGUUCGGGGCAAACUCGAUCGAUUGACUACCGGAAUAUUUAUUAUAAUAUGGAUGUUUGUUUGAAUAGAGGUGGCUGAUUUGCGUGGGUUUCCAACUUUCCUUACUCACCGUAGAUUUGGGCGUGGUAAAUUUUAAACACGUCUUGCUUAAUUUUACACCAUACCAAAUCAAAUGGAGACGAGAAUUCCCGCCUGCCAUUUUAGUGCGUCGUUCCUAUUCAGUUUAAAUUCAAAUAGCCUUUUACAGGUUAACAGGUUGGAGUAUAGGAUGAAGCAACGAUUUUGGGAUUCACGAUUUACAGGAAAGAGUUCUUCUCAUCAAAAGUUAGUCGCUUUUAGGCAGCUUGUAGCCAUUUUGAAACGAUAGUUCGACAAUCAACGUGUACUUACGCACGAAGUUGGCAAGGAACAAGUGAUCACAUCACAACCGAGGAGUCUUCGAUGUUUUUGCGACCGGAAGUUGUCGCCAAAACAAGUUAAAACGGAUUAGUAUCUUUUAAUUUGAAGAUAACCGUUUUUCCGCCUGCCGGCUCACUUUGUCCCGUUCUGUGUCAGUUUUGAUUCUUGCGGGGGAACGAAGACCCUCUACAACCAAUGCGGUUUUUCUUAAUCUCUUUGAAGGAAGCGAGUAUAUUACAGGCUGUUAGUUGAAACUUCAAUUUUUAGCAGUCUCGAGUUGUCAAGGAUUUGAGAAUUAUUUUCCUGCUAUGAAAAAAUAUCCGUGCAAGAAAAUUUUUAGAGAAAGUAUUUUUAAUACGCCGGCAGCCGGCAGACUGAAGUCGGUAGAUCUAUCUUCGUUGAUCUCCGCCGAAAACCGCAGAGACAGGCUUUUAUUAAAGGUCUGUUCAUUUGUUCUUUCCUGAAGUCUGCCCUCUGUGUUGUUGUCAGUGUUGAAAGGUCGCACGAACGCUGCAAUUCACGAUUCGAUUACGCUGACAAUACCUACUGUAAAUAUGUGUUAUACUGGGCAAACAAGCUAAUAAGUCUGGUGAAACAUUUGGCGUCAAUUAGCGUACUUUCGUUGUUUUCAGUAGGCAAAGUUUAAAAAGCGCUUUAACUACGGUCACGCCAAAUCCUUGUCUCACAGCUCUCUUUUGUUCAUUGUUUUCCGUCGUGGCACCUAUGUAAACUUUGGAGCAACUGAAAGCGAGAGCUUUUUGUGAAAGGUAUUUGUAUCGACCGUCUUUUAUACAGCGCUGUGUUUAAAGCUAUGGACAAAGAUUCCACCAAAUGCAUUGUUUAAAUUCUUUCCAAUAAGCCGAAAGCGGAAAAGGGUCGCAACUAAAAAACAUUCGCUUGUAAUGACCGGAAAGUUUGCUUCACGUAGAGCGAGGGAAGCCUGGUUCGUUUUAGCAAGCGUCGAGUGCUUUAGGAUGUAAGCGCGUGAAAAAAUUUCUUCACCGUGCGCGUAUUUGUGCCUUCAAAUGUUUUCAUCGAUAAUUUUCUAAACUGAAUUUUAAUCAAGUUAUCCACAUGGCGACGUCAUAGUCGAGUUUUGUUGUGCGAGCCGUCUAAAGGGAUUACCUCAAAAGAGCAUUAGUUGAAUUGAGUGUCAAGAGAUUUCAGAUCAUUGUGUGGCGGCCUACACUUUUAUGCUGAGUCGCCGGAGUGUUUGAAUACUUGGAAGGCGAUUCUUGUUUGAAUGAACCAAGCGACUCGAUCUUAAAGAUUUGUAUGUGGCGGGGCAUGGCAUUUUGAAGCAACACAUAUCAGAAAGCAAGAAGAAAGUGUCAGCGAAAGAACGGAAAAGGGAAUUGAAUUUAUUUUCAAGAAAUAGAUUUCCGAAAUGCGUUCGUCAGGAGCUCCUCGCCAUUCACGGACAUCCACGAAGCCAAACGAUAUUCCCCGAGAACUUGGCGUCUGGUGUGAAAAAUGCAACAACCGACUUGUCGAGCUCAAACGGCAAGUAAUGAGGAUGAUUUUGCCGGAAAUACAGGGUGUUUUGCAGAAGGAGCGAAAAAACAAAAAUACGGGAUCACUUUCUGCAAGGAUCUUCGACCAGAUCCGCAUUCCAGAGACGCAAAUGAAGUCAUGGAAAAAUGAUCAAUGUGAAGUGUGUGCCACAGACCUGAACCAACUGAAAAGAGAGGCUGUUGCCAUGGUGAAUACCUUGGAAGAGUCCCAGUUCCUCGCUUACUACAACAUUCCCGGAUACAUGGUGGGACCGAACGCUGACCAGCUCAUACGACGGGCGGACAAGCAGCGCCUGCAAGCCGGCGUCGCCAUGGAGACGGGUGAUCGUGGUGGUAUGAUGUAUGUGAAGCCGGAAGAGGCAGCUAUUGGUUCAUCGUUUCUGUCAAGGUAGGCUCCCAGUCUUGUAUUUGUAAGCUCACACGUUUGGUAGUCUGUCUGGAGAAAUCUGCUGAGCCCGCAGUUAGCCAGAGGUGCUGCUAAGCAACAUGGCGUCCCCUUAAGUACCUCGAAAGUCUUCGAGGUAACUUAGAUUUGUAAAAAAACCUAGACAGCAUAGUGCAAAUCUUAUUUGACCCCUUCUCAAGGCCGAUUUGCAAGACCGAAAUUCCGAUAUAAAUGGCACGAGAACCAGAAAAAAAGUAAAAAACGAGGUUCGACACGGUCAAAUGUCGUUGUGUAAACGUUUUUUUUCCUAUCCGUGCAGGGGCCACUGAAUAGGCAGUCAGUGCACUGAUGAAAUUUUCGUUAGGCAUGGAUGAGAAACGAAAUUCCCCUGCCGGGCUAUUGUUUUCAGUUAUAUCGGAACCGUGCAAAAAUUUUCUGUCGAGUAAGUCGGCUUCAAAUGUAUCAAUUCAAACAGUACGAUUCUCGGCCCAACCGCUAUUAUCAAUUAUUGUUUGAAUGAGAUCUCCGCCUCACGGUGGAAAAAUGUUGUCUCAGCUCCCAGUAUUCUCCCUCUCUCUAUGCUCAAUUUAGUUUAUUGAGUUACCGUACUCCCUUAGCGGAGAUCAUUCUA
rnacentral:misc_RNA from 1 species